UGGAAUAUUAAUUCAUAUUAUUAAUCAUGUGUAUUCUGAAAAACAACUUAAUCAGAUAAAAGAGUUUUUGACUAUUGGACAUAUUUCGGAGCAACAACUAUUAUUUGAUAAAAUGUUAAAGAUUAGUUGCGUGUCAGAAAUUGGCGAAUUAGUUUGGUUAAUCAAUGACAAGCUAGAAAUACGCAAAUUUGAAAUUUUAAGACACUUGAGGAAGUUUAAGAGAAUUAUUACAGAAUAUAAGAUAAGAAUAUAAGAAUAUAAGAAUAUAGAG